rnacentral:rRNA from 1 species
UACGGAGGGUGCAAGCGUUAAUCGGAUUCAUUGGGCGUAAAGGGCGCGUAGGCGGAAAUGUAAGUUGGACGUGAAAGACCGAAGCUUAACUUCGGAAACGCGUACAAGACUGCUUUUCUAGAGGAUAGGUGGGGAAAGCGGAAUUCCACGUGUAGCGGUGAAAUGCGUAGAUAUGUGGAGGAACACCGGUGGCGAAGGCGGCUUUCUAACUUAUACCUGACGCUGAGGCGCGAAAGCGAGGGGAGCAAACAGG